UGGUGAGGAAGUGUGUUGCAUACAGCUGUUCUGCGACAAACGCUGACGCAGUCAGCUUACAUGAAUGGCCGAAAAACCAACGGAUGGGCAAGAUAUGGACCAGGUUUGUGAAGAAAAAGCGGGCGCAUUAGAGUUACAAGUCAAAGUCAACAGUAUUAUAUUCCAAGCAUUUCACUGAGGACUGCUUUGAAAACCCCGUACACCGUUCACUUGGUUUCGCUACCAAAGCCUGAAGGACACACUUAAGUGUCAAUAGUAAAUCAGGAAACAAACGUUGCGGCGCCAGGGGUGACGGGUCGGCCACCUGCCCUUCCUCUCGCACGGAACUGAAAAGUAUAAUAGAGAGAUGCAGAGUACAAACAGGUAGAGUCUGCUGUGGAUUGCGUACGGACGCCCAGCUGGUUGACAAGCGGAGCUCUGCCUGGGUGUUUGGCUCUCCACCUUCUCGGCAUAGUUCUUCUAACCGCUCAGUCAAUGUUAUGUGCUGAAACCACGUAAGUACCGCAUUCGCUG